rnacentral:rRNA from 1 species
UAUUGUCCACUGGGGUCAACCCUGAUCCAGCCAUGCCGCGUGUGUGGAGAAGGUCUUCUCCUUGUAUAGCACUUUAAGUUGGGAGGAAGGGCUUUAGGCGAACACCCUGAAGAUUUGACGCUACCAACAGAACAAGCACCGGCUAAAUCUGUGCCAUCAGCCGCGGUAAUACAGAGGGUGCAAGCGUUAAUCGGAAUUACUGGGCGUAAAGCGCGCGUAGGUGGUUCAGUAAGAUGGGUGUGAAAUCCCCGGGCUUAACCUGGGAACUGCUUUCAUAACUGCUGAGUUAGAGUACGGUAGAGGGUAGUGGAAUUUCCUGUGUAGCGGUGAAAUGCGUAGAUAUAGGAAGGAACACCAGUGGCGAAGGCGACUACCUGGACUGAUACUGACACUGAGGUGCGAAAGCGUGGGGAGCAAAC